GACGAACGCUGGCGGCGUGCUUAACACAUGCAAGUCGAACGAACAGGCGCGGCUUUUGUGGCGUUCUCGUGUGCCGAAGACGGGUGUAUCACGCGAGUAUAAUCCCCCUGUCAGUGGGGUAUAUUCACGAGACUCGGGCGAUUAUCGCGUAGGAGAUCCUGCUCCACAGUGGGCGAUAGAAAGUUUCGGCGGUUGGGGAUGGACUCGAGGCUUAUCAGCUGCUUGGUCGGGUAGUUGCAUUCCAAGGCUUCGACGGGUAGCCGGCAUGAGAGGGUGACCAGCCUCAAUAGGACUGAGAUACGGCCCAGACUCCUACGGGAGGCAGCAGGGGGGAAUAUUGCACAAUGGGCGGACGUCUGAUGCAGCAACGUCGCGUUCGGGAUGACGGCCUUCGGGUUGUAAACCGCUUUCGCAUGUGAUGAAGCGUGAGUGACGGUAAUGGGUAAAGAAGCACCGGCUAACUACGUG
rnacentral:rRNA from 1 species